UCGAGGGGCAGCGCAAAGAUAGUUUACUAUUUUGGCGGCGACCGGCGCACGGGUGAGUAACGCGUAUGCAACCUACCUUAUACAGGAGUAUAGCCCGAAGAAAUUCGGAUUAAUCCUCCAUAGUAUUCUUUAAUGGCAUCAUUUGAAGAAUUAAAGCUUCGGCGGUAUAAGAUGGGCAUGCGUCCUAUUAGCUAGAUGGUAAGGUAACGGCUUACCAUGGCUACGAUAGGUAGGGGGCCUGAGAGGGUGAUCCCCCACACUGGUACUGAGACACGGACCAGACUCCUACGGGAGGCAGCAGUGAGGAAUAUUGGGCAAUGGGCGCAAGCCUGACCCAGCCAUGCCGCGUGCAGGAAGAAUGCCCUAUGGGUUGUAAACUGCUUUUAUUUAGGAAUAAACCCCUUUACGUGUAGAGGGCUGAAUGUACUANACGAAUAAGCACCGGCUAACUCCGUGCCAGCAGCCGCGGUAAUACGGAGGGUGCAAGCGUUAUCCGGAAUCAUUGGGUUUAAAGGGUCCGCAGGCGGAUGUAUAAGUCAGUGGUGAAAUCCUGCAGCUUAACUGCAGAACUGGCAUUGAUACUGUACA
rnacentral:rRNA from 1 species